rnacentral:rRNA from 1 species
ACUAGGUUUCUGUCGCCCGUCCCACUUCUCUCGCGCACCCGUCGCUCCUCCUUCUCUUUGGCACGAGCAGCAGCCGCCGCUACUCUCCGCCUCCCUCCUCCUCCCCAUAGGAUUUCGACCUGCCCCUCCCUUGUGCUAGCCUCUGACGGCCAUGAAGGGGAGCGAGCUCGCCGUUGCCGUUAUCGGGAGGAGAGCGACCGACGGACUUGGAGCAUCCCCAUCGACGGGAGGAGCGCAGGAACCGUCGGCGCCCUCUGGCGACCAGAUCUUUUCCCUCGCCCGCCGCCGUGCCCCCGUCAAACGUAACACAUCAACGGGAGGAGAUGAAUCGCUGCUCUGCCCGGAGGAGCGGGUCGAAGGGAGUUAACGAGGCGGAUCUGCAGCACUGGCCUCACCUCAGGCAGCAGCUCAGCUGCGAGUACUGCUCUGGAGCUCCAGCCUGAGGCCAGAGCCGCCGGCGCAGGAAGCGUGCGGUCACCUCCCCCUUCCGCUCGAGCUGGUCGCCCUCCCGUUCGUUCUUGGAUCGCUCGUUCCUGAGGAGGAGAAGCGAUUGUCAAGAUCUUACUCGCCUGGCCGUGCUCGGGUGGAAGCCAGAUGCGGAAUUGACCUCCGGAAAUGGAGGAAUCGAGGCCGAGGAGGGCGCAGCCGGCGCCAGGAUCCGGACCGUGCCGAUCGCCGUCACGCCGGAGGGCUUCUGGUGCUGCUCCACGCCGCCGGCGCUGCACAAGAGCCUCAAGAACCCGCAUCACCACCACGGCCAUGGCGGCGGCAACAGCCACAGCCAUAGCCACAGCAAGCACCAGUGCAAGAUCCCGUCGGCGCCCCCGUCCGUGGCGCCCUCCGUGCAGAAGGCGCCGUCCGUGACCGACGAGCCAGGGCGCCGGGAAGCUCCCGACGAGCAGAACGCGGCGGCGGCCGAGACUGCGGCGGAUAAACGGCAGGAGCAGGCCGGUGACGCGGAGGCUUGGCAGCACAAGAUCUGCGUUGGGUUUGGGUAGCCUGAGACGAGUGAUCUGACGGUGAUACUGUAUCUGUAUGGCAAGGAAGGGAUUGCUGUCAUGAUGAGUGUGCAUAGGGACGUUCUCUGUGGAAGCAGCGCUUUCUUCGCCGAGAAGCUCUCUGACGGCGACAAUGGCCAUGGUGGCUCUCUGGUGCCAUGCGUGGAGAUCCAUGAUUGCGACGGUGCAGAGAUCUAUGUGGAGACCGUCGGGCUGAUGUACUGCGACGAGGCGAAGCAGAAGCUGCUCAAGCAGCAUGUGUCACGAGUGCUUCGCAUCAUGAAGAUACUGCCGAGGGAGCGGCUGAUGGAGGCGGUCUGCAGAUGGCGUGCGAGUCAAGGAGGUCCACCGCAAGCGGCCGAUGAUGGGUGCACCGUGGAUGAGAUCUCCGGUGGAAAGAUGCAUCCAGGCCCGGCCACCUCUCCACCAUGACGUGCCAGCCAGUUCUCUCUUGCCCCUCCUUCUACACCGUAUCGCCGUCUCACCCACCAGUCCGAGAGGGGGCAGAAGAGGAAGCCAUUUGCACUCACCAGUAAGUUGCGCAAGACUACAACCUCCCUCGAUGAGUACUGCCUCGGCUACGACCUCCCUCGGGGAGCUCCAUCUUCCACCUGCUCCUCUACUUCGGCUACUGUAUGGGACAUGGUUGUGACUAUGUUGAUGUGGUGCUCGUCUGGUUGAUGCUCUAUGCCCUGCUCAUGCAUCGGUUCCUACACAUAAAUCCCCAAGACCAACUUUGGUUGAUGCUAAAAUGUGAUGAGGUGGGGGUGCGGCGGUCUGCAUCCACGCGCUGCUCGGCAUCACCAGGUCGUCGGCACAUAUCCUCGUGCCCAUGCUGUUCAACACGCCGCAGCUCUUGCCCACAGAUCCUCGAGUAUUGAUUGUCAUGCCUUUGGUAGCAGUAGCCCCCAUUGGAUAGUUUUUUAUUUAUAAACAGAGAAGCUUUCUUUUACUUGAGAACUGAAGGAUCAUGUUACCUAGCGCAAAGGGAACUUUCUUUGUACAUAUAUUGAUUUAUUUACAUGUAUAUGAGAUCCACGAUUUAUGGCUCAUACCUGAUCCAUCUGAAUUGGGUAGCUUUCUUUUCUUCUUAGACAUAUAUCUAUCCAUCGAUAUGGCAUCUCCUUUUUUUUAUUAUUUAACAGUGUUUUGCUAGCAGUUAAAAUAAUCCUGUACAAUCUGGAAAUAUGUAGUUUUGAAUAGACAUAUUAUUUUGCUGAAGAGUUCAGUCCAUGCAUGUUUGGUUCCUCUCAGUUUAGUUAGUGGCCUAUAUGAAUUCGAUUUGGCCCGUGAUAUUUUUGUACAGUUAUUGAUUUGCUAGCAUAUAUUCUAAACUUAAUUUUGUUAGCUCGUAUGUGGUGUUCUUUCUUAUAAUAUCUUUUUAUCUGACGCAAGCUUAUUUUGUUCAUGAGAGUUUCUCCAUGUUUAUGAAGAAAAGAUUUGGGUUGAGAGCACCUUCAGAUAUAUAAAUUUGUUUUCUAAUUCUUGCUGGUCAGUGGCAAAGCAUUAAUUUUUGUUUGCUUUACAAUUUUUCAGGAGUAAUGGAAUGUUGAUUGGCUGGUGGCGGCAUGUUCAAGUAUGGGAAAUGAUGAGCUCGUGCUUAUUUUUAUGCCAGCUCUAUGCCGUAGAACCGUUAAAGUCUGAGCUAGGAUUUUGACUUGGUUAUCUGGUUUUUAUCUAUGCACAUGCAAUGCUCUUAAGGCUUGCAAAGCUGAUAGAUGGCGCAUAGAUGGAUGAUGAAAUUGUUAAUGUGGCUGUCCGUUCCCCAAACGACGAGGUGCACGCUUCCCGUCCAGCUCACUGUUGCCUCGCCGUCGUUCCUCAGUUGGAUCGGGAGAGGGGCGUCACUGGCGGUUGGACCAGAGAAGAAAGCGACUAGAGAGGGAACUAACGAUGGGAGAGUGUUUGGUGCUGGAUCCAAAAGUAAUUGCCGUCUACUGUUGCCCUUGAUUCUUGACUAUCGGAUUGCUGGUCCCAUAAGAGCCACAAUCGCACAAGGAAAUCUAAACAGCCGACUGGGUAUUGAUAAGAAAUACCAAUUUAAGAGGACCGUGAGAGAGCUCGGAGGGAAGAACGCAGUUGAUGACCAUAUUUGGUGCCUUCUUGUGCAAACAGUGGAAGCCUUUAAGUGAGCAUAUAUUCAUGUCGAACUUCUAUGCUAUUGACUCUUUGAUUGCCUGAUCCCCUUCAUCCUUCACUGUAGGGCUCGGCAUAAAGAACACAUAAAUAUAUAUUCAUGUGAAACUGAAAUUCAGACAACCUUAGAUUAACAUUUUUUCAUGUCAGUGGAUUGAUAGUUGUACUGAAUCUUGCCCUAUGUACAUGCCCAC